rnacentral:lncRNA from 15 species
AUGACUGCCUUGGUAGUUCUAGUGCAUCAGUUAGUUUCUGUGAAUGGAGUAAAGAGUGACUGUGUUCUCGAUAGACUUUCUCAUUUCCACACAAUCCAGGGCUUCCCCCCGGAUUUUAUGCAUGACCUUUUUGAAGGAAUAGUGCCACGGGAAUUAAGUCUCUGCAUAAAGUCUCUGAUAUCCAAACAGUACUUUACAAUAGAUGAGCUGAAUUCCAUCAUUGAAUCCUUCCCUUUCAAGUUUACAGAUAAAACCAACAGACCUCAUCCAAUUUCAAAGUCUUUUGCAUCGAAAAAAUCUAUCGGUGGGAAUUGCCACGAAAACUGGACACUAUUGAGACUUCUGCCGUUGAUGAUCGGUCACAUCAUACCAGAAGAUGACAAAACUUGGGGGAUUCUAUUAGAUUUGAAAGAAAUAGUAGAGCUUCUGGCUAGUGGACAUUUUUCAGAAGAGACAUUGGCAUACUUGGAGUGUAAAAUCUCCGAUCACAGGUGCCUAUUAAAAGAGGUGUUUCCUGAUAUCCACCUCCUGCCCAAGCACCACUUCUUGGAACAUUAUCCUGAACUGAUUCGGAGAUUUGGUCCCCUGGUUGAUUUCUGGACCAUUAGAUUUGAAGCUAAGCACAGCUUCUUUAAAAGGGUGGUGCAUGAUUCUCACAAUUUCAGAAACAUCUUGCUCACUCUAUCAACAAAACACCAGCUUACUUUAGCUUACCAUCUAGACUUGCCAAGUCUUUUCAGACCUGAUCUGGAAGUUGGACACACUGCAGUUGUUUCACCUGAUGCGCUCGAGCACUCCAUGAGGCGGGCUGUAGAGCUGAAAUAUGGAAACAUAAGUCUUGUGUCUCUUGCAACCCAUGCCUGCCUUUAUGGCACAAAGUAUUCAGAGGGUAUGUUUCUGUCCGUGGGGCACACCAGUGGCAUCCCUGACUUUGGGAAGCUGGUUAAAAUUGUAGUUGUUUCCAGCAAAGUGUCUUUCAUCAUAGAACCAUAUCAUGUAUGGUACAUGGAGCACCUGCGGAGUUAUGAGUUGAUGAAAAAACAGUCUUCUGAACUGCUGAUUGUGGAAUUACACGAACUAAAUGGAUAUCAGCCCCUGUAUCCAUACACAAAAGGAGGCAAACUGAUGGUGACACCAAAAGUUUUUUUGCUUCAUUAA